AGCGAACGCUGGCGGCAGGCUUAACACAUGCAAGUCGAGCGGGCACUUCGGUGUCAGCGGCAGACGGGUGAGUAACACGUGGGAACGUACCCUUCGGUUCGGAAUAACGCUGGGAAACUAGCGCUAAUACCGGAUACGCCCUUUUGGGGAAAGGUUUACUGCCGAAGGAUCGGCCCGCGUCUGAUUAGCUAGUUGGUGGGGUAAUGGCCUACCAAGGCGACGAUCAGUAGCUGGUCUGAGAGGAUGAUCAGCCACACUGGGACUGAGACACGGCCCAGACUCCUACGGGAGGCAGCAGGGGGGAAUAUUGGACAAUGGGCGCAAGCCUGAUCCAGCCAUGCCGCGUGAGUGAUGAAGGCCUUAGGGUUGUAAAGCUCUUUUGUCCGGGACGAUAAUGACGGUACCGGAAGAAUAAGCCCCGGCUAACUUCGUG
rnacentral:rRNA from 1 species